rnacentral:rRNA from 1 species
AUUAAUAGAUAUUUCUUUAAAUUUGAAGAAUUUGGCGGUAACUAAUCUUAUUAGAGGAACCUGUUUUAUAAGUCGAUACACCCCGUAAAAUCUUACUUGUUUUAUUUAGUUUGUAUACCGUCAUUAUCAGAUGAUUUUUAAAAAAUAAAUUAUUAAACGUUAUGUAAUAGUAAGUGAAAUUAGAUCAAGGUGCAGCUCAUAAAUAAGUCGAAAUGGGUUACAAUAAAUUUUAUUUAAUACGGAGUUAAUAUUAAAAUGAAACAAUUAACGAAGGAGGAUUUAAUUGUAAUAGGAAUUUAAUAGGUUUUAAAGAUAUCAGCUCUGAGUUAU